UUUACCUAUGCAGCUCCUGACAUAAUCAAAACAAAAUUCCAGCAUCUGAGAGACUUGGGGGUACAUUCUAAGAGAGAACAACACCCUAGCAAAAGCACUGUUUACUGCUCAGAGCCCUGGAGGAACUGGUUCUGCAGACUGCUGACCCCAGGGGAUGUCUGACACAAGGGCGCCCGCAGAGCUCAUUUAACUUAAUGCCCUUCCUCUACAGGCACACAGCUUCCAGGUCAUGGGAUUCAGGCACUGUGGCCCAGAAAAGGAAUAAUAAUAGUAACACAAGCUCCUUGGCAGAAGUUCAGCAAACAUGAUCAUCCUAAGCUCAAAGCUACCACAGCUUUCCAGAAAAACACCCAAGUGGUUUGCUGAUCAAAAAUUCUCUGAUUCCAAAG
rnacentral:lncRNA from 1 species